GUUGGGGCUAGGACCUGGAAGCAUUUCAGUCCCAAGUUUGCUGGCAAAGGCAGGACUUAUUCGGAAUUCUUUCUCACUUUGUUUAAACUCUGUUCUUAAAAUUUAAAAUAGUUCUUCUUGUGAAAUCUCUUUUAUCUUCCCAAUAUCAUUUCCCUAUCUUUUUUAUGAUUUUGAUGAUAUACAAACUAGUUGUGCAGGGUUGUUUGGCUGUAUUACAGUCUGGUUACGACGACUACAUACAUCACCGUUGGACGAGAGUAUACGAAAACUUCUUGAUGGGCUAUCAUAUGUCUUUGAUAGGGAGAAUCUAAGCUUUUGGCUGGUCUAGAUCCAAUUGUCAAGAUAGCAGCAUGAGAGCACACCAAAUUUUACAUCACUUUGAGUAUGAGCAAAACAAUAUAUCUGAACCAUCCAACUCUUUUUAAGAGAUUAAGCAUAGGAUUGUAUUCAUCAGCCAUAAAAUCAGCACAGCAAAUGUGAGAUUCAUAUACGAGUAUGAUCAAUUUACAACAAGAUAUUAGUGA